AGAGUACUCCUCUCUUUGCAUGACGAUAUUUGUGUUGACGAUCGAGGCGGCAGCGAAGAUAUGACCGUAUCAUGUGCUUACAUUUCUGCAUCUAUGGUUAUUACACUUCCACUGUUCCCUUGUCUCCCACCAUCACAGCGUUUGAAAGAGAGAAGGGUACUUCCGAGAAAGAAGAGCAUCAUGCAGGCAUAGAGACGAUUAUCAGUGCACCAUUGCCACCAAGAUGGCUGACGAAUGCCUAACGGGGCAAAUACGUUUAUGCCGCAUAAUAUUAUGAUGAUCACCAGGAUUUUAGACAUGCCC